GCGUCCUAUUAGCUAGCUGGUGGGGUAAGGGCCUACCAGGACGACGAUGGGUAGCUGGUCUGAGAGGAUGAUCAGCCACACUGGGACUGCGACUUGGCCCAGACUCCUACGGGAGGCAGCAGUGGGGAAUUUUGCGCAAUGGGCGCAAGCCUGACGCAGAAACGCCGUGUGCAUGAUGACGCCUUUCGAGGUGUAAAGUGCUGUCGACCGGGACGCAGGGGCGAGGGUGAACGGCUAUCGGGCAUGACGGUACCGGUGGCGGAAGCCCCGGUUACCUCCGUGCCAGCAGCCGCGGUACGACGGAAGGAGCGAGCGUUGGUCGGAAUUACGUGGGCGUAAAGGGCACGUAGGGCGGUUCAGCAAGUUGUGCGUUAAAGCCUCGGGUAACCCGGUGACGGGCGUGCCAAACUGUUGGCCUGUAGUGCCCGAGGGCAGGGCGGAAUCCCUGAUUGCCCCGGUGAACUCGGUAGAGAUCCGGGAAAACCGUCGGUGGCGAAGGGGGCCUCCU
rnacentral:rRNA from 1 species